rnacentral:rRNA from 1 species
GAUGAACGCUAGCUACAGGCUUAACACAUGCAAGUCGAGGGGAAACGACAUCGAAAGCUUGCUUUUGAUGGGCGUCGACCGGCGCACGGGUGAGUAACGCGUAUCCAACCUGCCCACCACUUGGGGAUAACCUUGCGAAAGUAAGACUAAUACCCAAUGACGUCUCUAGAAGACAUCUGAAAGAGGUUAAAGAUUUAUCGGUGAUGGAUGGGGAUGCGUCUGAUUAGCUUGUUGGCGGGGUAACGGCCCACCAAGGCGACGAUCAGUAGGGGAACUCAGAGGAAGGUCCCCAACAUUGGAACUGAGACACGGUCCAAACUCCUACGGGAGGCAGCAGUGGGGAAUAUUGGUCAAUGGGCGAGAGCCUGAACCAGCCAAGUAGCGUGCAGGAUGACGGCCCUAUGGGUUGUAAACUGCUUUUAUAAGGGAAUAAAGUGAGUCUCGUGAGACUUUUUGCAUGUACCUUAUGAAUAAGGACCGGCUAAUUCUGUGCCAGCCGCCGCUGUAA